CAGCAGCCACGGUAAUACGAAGGGGGCUAGCGUUGUUCGGAUUUACUGGGCGUAAAGGGCGCGUAGGCGGGCGAAUAAGUCAGGGGUGAAAUCCCAAGGCUCAACCUUGGAACUGCCUUUGAUACUGUUUGUCUUGAGUUCGAGAGAGGUAAGUGGAACUGCGAGUGUAGCGGUGAAAUGCGUAGAUAUCGGAAGGAACACCUGUGGCGAAAGCGGCUCACUGGACCAUUUCUGACGCUGAUGCACGAAAGCUAGGGGAGCAAACAGGAUUAGAUACCCCGGUAGUCCCUGUCUCUUAUAC
rnacentral:rRNA from 1 species